rnacentral:rRNA from 1 species
ACAAUUAGCUGUUGGGACACUAGAUGUCUUAGUAGCGAAGCUAACGCGUGAAAUUGUCCGCCUGGGGAGUACGGUCGCAAGAUUAAAACUCAAAGGAAUUGACGGGGACCCGCACAAGCGGUGGAUGAUGUGGAUUAAUUCGAUGCAACGCGAAGAACCUUACCUGGUCUUGACAUGUACGGAAUCUCUUAGAGAUAGGAGAGUGCCUUCGGGAACCGUAACACAGGUGCUGCAUGGCUGUCGUCAGCUCGUGUCGUGAGAUGUUGGGUUAAGUCCCGCAACGAGCGCAACCCUUGUCAUUAGUUGCCAUCAUUAAGUUGGGCACUCUAAUGAGACUGCCGGUGACAAACCGGAGGAAGGUGGGGAUGACGUCAAGUCCUCAUGGCCCUUAUGACCAGGGCUUCACACGUCAUACAAUGGUCGGUACAGAGGGUAGCGAAGCCGCGAGGUGAAGCCAAUCUCAGAAAGCCGGUCGUAGUCCGGAUUGCACUCUGCAACUCGAGUGCAUGAAGUCGGAAUCGCUAGUAAUCGCAGGUCAGCAUACUGCGGUGAAUACGUUCCCGGGUCU